UACAGAGGGUGCAAGCGUUGUUCGGAAUUAUUGGGCGUAAAGGGCGCGUAGGCGGUGCGGUAAGUCACCUGUGAAACCUCUGGGCUUAACUCAGAGCCUGCAGGCGAAACUGCCGUGCUUGAGUGUGGAAGAGGGUCGUGGAAUUCCCAGUGUAGAGGUGAAAUUCGUAGAGAUCGGGAGGAACACCCGUGGCGAAGGCGGCCACCUGGGCCGACCCUGACGCUGAGGCGCGAAGGCGUGGGGAGCGAACGGG
rnacentral:rRNA from 1 species